AUGUCCAUGGAAGCUCAGAAUCUUCGGUUCGUCAGGUGCCCCAAAUGCCUCCAGCUUCUCGUGGAGUACCCGUCCAUUCCGGUUUACCAGUGUGGUGGCUGCGGCACCAUUCUUAGAGCGAAAAAUCGAGGUGCGCAAGUAACUCAGCCUGAUUCGGCAUCCGGUGAACAGAACAAUUUUCCACACAGCUUGGAAGGGUCCCCUCAGACCAGCAAGUCUAUUUGUUCCGAUGAACUGAAAGUUGUCUCUGCUGAUAUGCAGCCUAGUGAAAAUUUGGUUGAGGGAAAUAUUUCCUCUGUCGGCAAGCAUGCCAUCUCCGGUGAGAAUGUUAACGCAGAAAGGACUAUGUCUGUUGGAGAGAGUGCAGCAUCUGGCGAGGUUGACGGUGAGGAGAAUUGUUCCCUGAGUGUUGGCAAUGCCCGAGACCCCGAGUUUAUGAUCGAAGAGGCAGAUGACAAAGGUGCUACAGUUAAUUCUAGUAUGAAACUAAUAGAAAAUGUACAGAGUGUUGAAAUAAGUGAAGAUGCAGAUGGGGAAAAGGGUUGUAUUAUGGAUGAUGCAAACGAUGCUAGUGUUGCCAGCGAAGCUGCAACUGUCCAUAGCAUUGCAGGUGAGGAACUGGGAGAUGAUUCCGGUAACAAUGUGAUAGGAGAAAUAGAGAGCAUGUCUGAGCAAAAAAAUUCUGCUGGCAAUAAAAAUAUGAACUGCCAUGAGGCAGCUGAGACAAACAAACUGUAUGAGGAUGAUGGGGCUAAAUCCAUUAACAUGGUGGCUCGGAGAGAGGAGAGGUUGGAACCAUAUGGGGGUUUAUGUUUUGAAUCUUAUGAAGAUCUGAUUGAGGAAUUGGAGAGGUCUUUAUCAUUAAGUGAUGAUGAGGAAGACUUUUCGGAUGUAGCAGACAAUAAUGGGCUUAAUGAUGCUCUGCAUAAUCAAAUUGGUAGCCAAAGGUUUUUGUCAGGGGGCAAAAUGAAUGAUAGCCCUCGAAGUGAUCCUCAUGGUCGAUUGAUUGAAGAACUGGAGAGGUAUUUCAGUGAUCCAGAAGAACCGUUAGAACAUCAUAUUGCGGUUGCAGACAAAGACAUUCAAGACAAAAUUCAUGUGAAGGAGCAUGAUAAGGAUCCUCAAUUCCUGGUUAGUGUAAGUGCAAAGGCUUUCAGUGAUGGAGAUGAACUGUCAGAACAUCAUAUUGGGGUUGCAGACACAGACACUCGAGGGAAAAUUCAUGUGAAGGAGCAUGAUAAGAAUCCACAAUUCCUGGUUAAUGAAAGUGCAAAUGCAUGUGAAGCUGAUGGCAAAUAUGUACAAUCUGAACAAAAUUUUGAAAAGAAUGAGCUAAUAGCUUAUGGCAAUAAAGAAUUGGAAGAGGGUUGGACUGGAGAUGAUAAUAAGAUCGUCUGUGUUCAUGGGAAUGAGCAUUUCGUGCUUACAAACACAGACAGUCCAGACACAAUUCAUGAGAAUGAGAUUGAUAGGGAUGCGCAAUACCUGGACACUGGAAGUGCAAAGCCAUGUGAAGGAAGCAUCUCUUCCUUUGGUGACGGACAUCUGAAAUCUGGACAAAGCUUCCAACAAAACGAGCUAACAACUGAAGGCCCUAAAGAGAAGGAAGAUGGUUGUAUUGAAGAUGACAAUAAGAUCGACUGCUUUCAUGCGAAUGAGCAUGCCGUGGUUGCAGAUAAGGACGUUGCAGAAAUAAUUCAUGAGAAUGAGCAUGAUAAGGAUCCACAGUACCUGGGGACUGAAACUGCAAAUCUAUGUGAAGAGGACAUCUCUUCAUUCAAUGAUGAACAUCUCAAAUCUGGACAAAUUUUUGAUCAACAUGAGGUAACUUCCAAUGAUGGCACUGAAGAACAGAAGCAGGGCCGUACGGAAGAUGACAACACCACUAUAUGUGUUCAAGCUGACAAUCCAGUAGCUGAUGCUGGUUUUUCAAGCUUGUCAAAUGAGAGGAUUCAUUGCAAACCAACCAGCUUCACUAAGAAAAAAGAAGAGAUAUCAUGCAGGUACAGAGAUAGUCUACUUCGUCAAGGACUUUCUCUUGAUUCUGAAGACUUCAGGUCAAUCCAAAACUUUAUUGAAUCACAAAUGGAUGGGACCUCCAGUUCUCUCUCAAGUGGGUCACCUAGUCAAGGGGAUUUGUCGAUAAAAACAUCAAGUAAGUUCAAGACUGUUGAUCAACUUGAGCGCCUCAAGAAGAUGGAUGGUCUAAGAGAUCAGCUAAAUAGGCUUUCUAGCAACAAGGGCUUGGAGAAAAGGUAUCAGAAGAAAGACCUGGAAUACCAGCCACAACAACUGAAUACCUAUGAUGUUGAGCAACAGUUUCGAAGUGUUGAUACUGAUUCCAUCCCAAGUUCUUGUACUCUAGACUCCUAUUAUGGUCAUGGAAAGCCACCAAGGUACCCCCCGCCAAAUCCUUUCUCACCACCCCAUUCAUGUGCACACUGCCAUUUUGGACAUGUGCAAGCGCACAUCCCGCACAACUUUGAUGCUUGGGAGUUGAAUUCAUAUUACCAAUCCUCACAAGCUGGUAGCUCAAUCCCCGACCACGAUUCGCUCAAGUCAAGCUUCAAGGAACAGAAGCGUGUGGUGAGAAAGCAUAUUUUGCGGCCUCUGUCAGGUGCUUCACCAUAUACCGUCUGCAACAGCUGUUUCUUUUUGGUUCAAAUGCCAUCAGAUAUCUACAUGUCAAAAAGAAAGAUUGGGAAAAUGCAGUGUGGUAAGUGCUCCAAGGUUAUUGUAUUGUCUGUUCCUGCUGUCAAUCACGCCAAUGCAAAUGCCAGUAAGGAACUAACCCAAAAAUUAAGCAAGGCUGACAACAGAAAAGUUGCUAGAACGGAGAGUGCUUCUUAUCCUGUCAGUGUAAGUGAAGAAUAUGGAGCAUCUUUCACAAGAAGCUUGUCUAAUCGAGCUGGACCAUCCCUUGCUGCCACACAAAGUAGCAAGAAGGUUUCAGACUCGGCACUUCAUUUACUCAUGGGGUAUGAUUCAGCAAGCCAGUUGUUACGUCACAGCAGGGCGUUUGAGCGUCGCAGCAGGGUGUUCGAUGAUGGGUAUGAAAGCUUUGAGUCAAUGGUGCCGGUGUCCAGCCGAGUGUCCAGAAGAAAGAACAUGUGA
rnacentral:rRNA from 1 species